rnacentral:lncRNA from 1 species
CCCACCUGACUCCGGACUCGGGCAGAGCCGGCCCGCGGGGAGGAAGCGCGAGGCCUCCCCAGCGCCGCCUCUUCACCCGGGCCAGGCUCGCCCGCUGUCCACUGAGCUCCUAGAGGUGACUGAUGCUUCACAAAAAAGAUGGAGGCAGUGUGCUAGGUUCAGACGCACAACCACAGCCUAAGCAAAAAGCAAAGGCGCAAGGACUAAAUUGAGGGAGAUGCCCGGUGUAAGCCGGCAAGAAAAUAAUCAAGGAGCCGGCGCUGCAAGUCAGGCGCUGAAAUGGAGAUGAGUUUCUAAAAGACCAGUGGCACUAGGUUACUGAGCUCUGAGAGCCAGAUGCAUUCGAACUGAAAAUGUGAAACAAGGGCUUAGGACCCUGGAAUUGGGGGAGUGCUCAGUGGGCAGGUACGGGGCCUGGCCUGAAGUCCGCCAACCCCCGGUUCACACCCACGUCCUUCGUCCUUGGCAGACGGACCUGGGUUGUCCGGCUGCCGAACGCCUCCUAGGUGUGGCUCCCACACCUGCGAAUGAAAGGUAGGUUUCCCCAGACGGGCUGCUCAGGGCUACCAGGUGGCUCCAUUGUUUUCAGCCCAAAUGUGCAUCCAGAGCAGACAGAUGAACACAGUCUCACAACACAUAAAGGUGUCCAAAGGUUACCGUGUGAAACAGUGGAAACACAUUUAGAAGGAAUCGACUAUCCCGAUGAGUGGUCAGGUUAAGAAACAUGGGCUCCAUCCGAACAGUGAAGAAAUCACUUGUUUAAAAACCACCGAGCUGUUCACUGCCAUAUCCUAACUCAGUUAUCUCUACUACUCUUGUCACAUCCUAUGACAAAACCAUUUCUAUUCCCAUCCACCUCAGUUGUUUGACUAUGAGAGGAUAUGAACAUGCAAAACAAAUUAAAAUAUGAAACAUCUCAGACCUCUUGUUUAUCUCCUUCUUCUGAUACAGUCUUGUCUCCAAAUCACAUGUCUUUAGACGGCAUCUCCAAAAUGCCCUAGGAUGGACCAGGGAUUUAGCUCAGUGGUGCUACCACCUGCCUCAGAAACCCAAGGCCCUGAGUUCGAUCCCUAGUACCAA